AGUAGUUCGGAAUAGUUGACGGGAAGCGGGCAAGUUUUCCGAAGAGAGAUGGAGACACGCACCUCGAAGGAGGGCAAAUUAUUGUCGCUUCGACCUCUCGCUUCCACCGUACCACCACUCUUCUUCUAUUCGCCGACUUCCUUUUCCGUUCUUUCUCCACUUGUUCGUCACGGUACCGUGGCGCCACUUUGCUAAAGAGAGAGAAAGAAAGAGAGAGAGAGAGAGAGAGAAAACUACUUCUCUGUUCGUCUACCUAUAUAUAUAUAUAUAUAUCGGUAAAUCAGCGAUCGCAUUUCGAUUCUUAGGGAGACAAUUCCCCUUUGGAUCACGUUCGUCGACCGUUCAUUUGGGUCACGCUGCUGCUCCAUAGGAUUCGUGUUAUCGGUAACGUGAGGGAUUAUGAGGGGAAACGGCCACGAGGUAAUAUCUCCUAUAUCCAAAUAUCCCCGUUGCCUGUCUCUGUUCCACGAGCAGAGUUACGCUAAUACGUUCGUUCGGGAUUAUUCACCUUUCCCCGUUAUCCGGCUGACUUAUUAUCUUUGCACGCGGCGGGAGGGAGGAGGGGAGGGGAGGGGGAGAGGGAUGACAAGGGGAGGGGAUAAAAUCGAACCGUCGUUAUUGUUAUUCAACUCGAAAACGUCGAGUUCUCUCGUCGUCGAAAAUAAUUUCAUCCACGAAACUUUUAUAUAUACGUAUAUAUAUAUAUAUAUUAUAUAUAUAUAUACACGUAUAUAAUAGAUACUGAAUUUUUCAAGCUCGGUCUGUCGGGAAUGUUUUUCGUACCGGUGUUUCGAAACCGAGCGGCGUUAUCGCCGUGAUCCCGAUUGUCCCGCUAAAUUUAUUGUUCCUUCCUACCUGCUUUCUCCCUCCUUCUCCCCCCCUCCCCUGGUAUCGCGCUCGUCGCUCCAUUUCUUUUUCCUUUUUUUUCGCCUACCCUGUAUCCACGCAUAAAUUAUGUAUCGGUUUACGCGACCGACUUUGACGCUCGCUCUCUCUCUCUCUCUCUCUCUCUCUCUCUCUCUCUCUCUCUCUCUCCCAGAAGGGGAAUACGAUGUCGCUCGUGAAUUAAUUCGCGAUUAGCUUACGUCGCGAAUACCUUCCUUCGAAUUAAAGGAGUCGUUCACGAUUCUUUUCUUCUCGAGAGGAAAAAAAUAAGAAGAAGAAAGAGGAAAAGCGAUUUUCCUUUUGAUCACGAUCACGCGAGCGAAUCGAAUAAUCGGCGAAGGUAAGAAGGAAUUGAGGGGGAGGAGGGAAACUCGAUUAUUAUGUAGAAAUCGAGGCUAUUAAUAUUCAUCGGGUUGUUUCGUCGAUGAUGAAAGAUUACUCGAGCGGUCUCUUGUCUCGUUAUCGGGCAGAAUAGGAGAGGAGGGUCCAUCAGAAAAUUACUAGAAAAAAAGAACUAGAUAUCCCGGUAUACACGCAUCACACUCUGUCUUAACCUUGCUUCGAACUCGACACUGUUCCACUAGUUCUCAAAUUUCUCAACACUGUUGUUCUCUCUUCAGAGUUCGAGGAUAUCCCACGAAUUUCAAUCCUUUCGUUACGCACGAUUUCUCGGCCGCGGCGAAAAUGUGCACUACGAGAAAGAAGGCGGCCGCGUAGCGCCUCGCUGCGAGCGCUUUGACAACUAUCCUCGAAACUGGGUAUUUAUAACCUCCUAACACGCUUACAUUUCAUUAUUGCACUUACUUUGGAAUCAAAUAAGGAAUAUAAUAGCUUUAGGGAAUAUAAUAGCUUGAUGUAAUUGUAUGAUAAUAAUAACUGUUGAUAAUUGCGUGAGAAUGAUAAAAAGAAAAUAUAUGUUACAUUUCCAGUGAAAGAUAGUCGUUGUACAAUAACACUGAUCGCUCGUCAUACGUGUAACACGGGACAUUUUACGUAGAGCGACUUUAAUCGCCCGUAAUACGUCGGUGAUAUUUUAUGGAGAGAGACUUUAGUCGCUCGUUGUAACGAGAAGGUUAAGGAUCGUCGUCGUGGAGAAUUUUCCCACUGUAUCGUUAGUCCUUUGUCUUUCCAAACUAAUUCUCUUCUUUCUAAUUAUUAAUUAUUUUUCUACGUUGUUCUCUUAUUUUAUCGUCGCAUUUCUAUUUUUCAUUACUUCACGGGAAAAGUCGGAUUUCGUUUCUCGUUUCUCCGAAAUUUCCCCCUGGAAUAUUUUCCAAAGUCCCAAUUUCAUCGUUCCGGUGUAAAUCCGGCCUGGAGGGGAUGGAUCGUUCCUCCCCCCCUCCUCCCUUAAACACGGGUACCGCUUUUAUUAAAAAAAAAUUCACUCGCCAAAAACCCGAUUAAGAGAGAAUAAUCGUCGAAAGUUUCAUAAGAGAGAUUGUAGGAUUUUCGAUUUUUUCCAAGCGUCAUGAAAUAUCGUCAUAAUAUCACUUCGAGGGUGUGCAACGCGUGGCCGAUCGGCCGAUGCCUUUAAUUUAGCAGCGUCGUAUAUCGUUGCCGAUCCGAUCUCUCAUAAUCAAUCGUCCCCGACGAUGAGAACGGUUAUUACGAAUUGGGGAGGGGAGGGGAUUCAAGUUAUCCCGCUUAUCGUUGUAGCGGACGAUUCGCGGCGGAGGGAGGAGGGGGAGAGGGAGGACGAAUGCUGGAACAGGCCGCGGUGACGUUUAAUCGAAUUCCAACGGGCAAAAUAUUCGUGUCCGGUGGGUUUGACGCACAGAGCGCCACCCCAGUUUAAACGGUGGCAUCGAUUAAUUUCGAUUUAUUAGAAGGAAGAUUCGCCGUCCGAAAUCUCCAUUCUCCCCGCGUUCGAAAAUUCAACGCGCGCGUUCGUCGAUUAUUAUCCAUUUGGCUCGCUUCUCACCCAAACGCGACCGCUUUCAUUUCCUCUCCUCCUUCGCUUCGCCUUACAUCGCCCCUUCCUCCGAUCCGUUAACCUCUCUUCCUUCCCCACCCCCCUCCCUGUCGCCGAAGGUUUCGCCAUCUAUUACGUCGAGAGCGAGAAUAAUAACAAACGCUCUCUCGAGUCGAGUCGAUCCGCGACGAAACGUGUUUGCAAAGCAUCGACGCGUCCGUGUAAAAUCCUGUGUGAUGUGAAAAAUACUUUUACCUCUCUCGUAACGUAAUACAGCUCUAUUCAUAAACGUGGUUCCGUGUUCGAAUAAGCAGGACAUACUACAUUCCCAUUAUCCGAAUACUGGGUAAUAUACGAACGUUUCUGAUCACGAUCCGUAUAUUCCAUGUUACACCGCGCAACGUUUCGUGGCGAUGUUUACACAUAACGUACUUAAAUUACAAGGCAAACGCAACGUAUUUAGACGUAAUGAAUAUUUUUCCCGUGCUCGGCUGGUUAACCGUAAUCGUUUAUCGAUUGAGUGUGAAAUGGAGAAUCGGUAUCGCGAUGUCAGAUAAACAGGAAAUAGAAAAUGAUCAAAGACGUUGAAAGUGGUGAAAGUGGAACGAAAUUAACGUAAUUCUACGACUGCAGCUGCUUACGAUAAAAAAUUUAUGCGACUUGGCAGUUAAAAAGAUACGAGAUCCUUAAAUAUUGAGAGAAACUGUUAAUUUUGUUCAUUUCCUAUUGAAUAAGUGAAGUUUAAUGCAAAAGAAGAUUAACGAGAGGCGACGACCGGCGAUAAACAACUUAGCCUGGAAAUUUGCGUUUCCAGCCUUCCUCGGCCGGCGCGCUCGCGAGGAAGGCGCGGAAGGGGGGCGGUGGAUUAAUUCGAUUUUCCAGCGGCGCAUCAAAGCGGACGAAUGGAAUAUCUCCCCGUUCCCGCGGGUGGGAAUUUAUUUUUAACCCCCUCUAUUAAAACGCGGGUAAUCAGCGAAUGAAUCCCCCUCUCGAACGCGUAUCCCUUCUCCCCCCUCUCCCAUAGAUCCAAUCCUUGUUUUCGUUGCGUCUAAACGAUCUCGGAGGGAGGGAUUCUCUCAGCCCCCCUCUCCCCCCCAAAUGCAUUCAAACUAAUCAACGAUACAAAAUUUCGUCCCCGUCCAAUUUUCGAAGAAAUAAUAAACUAAGGACGAUAAUAAGCUUCGAUAUAUUAGAGUGUCUCAUAAAUUUCUUUCUUUUUUUUUGUUUUUUUCUUUUCAUACGAGAUAUUCGUUGUUAAUUUAAUCGUUGUUAAUUUUUCUGAUCUAUCGCCUUCUUCCAUUCUCUCGGGAAGCCUCGUUAUUCCAAAAUUGUUGCGCUUCGUUUCUGCAAAAUAUCGCUCGAGCUGCAAUUUUUUAUCUCGCUCGCCGUUUAUCGUUUAUCGCGGAGAGAAUUUUUUUAAUAUGCAACAUUGUGUAUACGCUUUCGCAUUGUCGCGAUGGUUCGAUAUUAUUGGCCGUUCUUCUUCCGUCUUUCGAGCAAUAUUUUCGAAAAUUCAUGCUUGAGAAAGGAGCUCGUAGCAGAUUAUACCUUUCCAAUCCCAUCGAAUGGAUAAAAGAAUUUUGAAGUCCAGGAUUCUGGUUGAAGAUCUAUUUAUUAGUCCUUGAAUCAAGGGUACAUUUUGAUCUGAAGAGAGUAGUUUAAAAUUAAAAGAAUUUUGAAGUCCAAGAUUCUGGUCGAAGAUCUAUUUAUUAGUCCUUGAAUCAAGGGUACAUUUUGAUCUGAAGAGAGUAGUUUAAAAUUAAAAGAAUUUUGAAGUCCAAGAUUCUGGUUGAAGAUCUAUUUAUUAGUUCUUAAAUCAAGGGUACAUUUUGAUGUGAAGAGAGUAGUUUAAAAGAGAGGUUUGGGCUAAUAGAUGAUAUUAUUCGCACAGAAAUAACCGGUUAAAGAAACUUAUGGGACACCUUAAUAUAAUAAUUCUCGUUCGAUUAUAAUAAUUCGCAUCGACUUGAAUCCGAGUGGUUUCGAGAGAGAGGGGGGGGGACUCUUCGCCUUAUGAAUCUUGAAUAACCGCUGCUCGAUUUCGGAGGAUGUUUAAACGGAUGGAGGUGGAAAUAAUAAAUCUUCGAUUCUCGAUCGACUCGAAUUUCAAAUCGAACGAGUAUGAAAGUGUACAUCCAAGACAGUUUAUCGUGUAAAAAAUAUAUUGGAAGUAAUAGUAAACAAAAAUUAUAAAUAAAUAAUUUAAUAAAUAAUUAAUUAAUAAAAAAGUUGCAUUUUUGUAACCCUUUGCGCUUUCCAGCACCAGUUGGAUCGAUGCGGCGACAAUAUUUAUUUAUGUCUGAUUUUUUUUAAAAUCAAUAUCGCUUCUUAAAUAGGUUCCUAAACUCUUUGCAAUUUUAUGAGAU
rnacentral:lncRNA from 1 species